GCCCUUUAUCGAGCCAUCAUCUCUUUGCAGCCAGCACACCCACCGCCCUUGCUGGCUGGGCCGCCUUGUUGCACCUCACGGCUGCCAGCAAGCCCCUCUGAUAAUUCUGCUCCAGCCACUGGGUUUAAAAGACUCAAUAGGCACAUCCAGACCUUCUCCAAGGUGCCCACCCAGAGCACCCUCGCCAAGUGUCUGAAAGCCCAGCGGCAGCCUGGCUCCUUCCCUCACCAACUCAUUCAUUCAUUGCCUGACCCCAUUUCCCAAGCUGGUGACCACGGCUGGUCAGGACUCGCUUCUAAAGGGCGCGGGGUCUGGCUUCCUCACCAGCAGCCACAGGGCACAGCUCCCGGACCAGCCGGCAGCCCCUCCCAAGGAGGAGGUUAUUCUGGAGACAAAGGCAGCGCCCUGAGGUAGAGUAUGAUCCUGUGUCCAUCAACACUUCCUAACGUGCAUGUAGAAGCUAAAAUUGUUAAGAUUUGCGAAAUACUUUUACCUCGAAGUUGGCAGUGACAUCAUUCUGUUUUUUCCUGGGUGCGGAGGAGUAAUUUCAGAAGGAGACAUUUUGUAAAAUUAAAAGAGGCAUGAGCUCCUCCUUCCUGGCAACCUGGGGGAUCACAAAGACAGACGGCACCUCCCCAGGCACCUGCGCCUGUGUCCGACGGCAAAGCCAUUGUCAAGCGAACCUGAUGCUGUCACUGGUCACCCGGAGCCCAUCAGCAUGUUGACCCGGGGCCCAUCAGCAUGUUGAAGG
rnacentral:lncRNA from 1 species